UACAAGCACACAAUCCAAUUGUACUGAACCGCAGGGUCCCGAUUUGAACAUUGUCUUUUUGUGAUGUGGCCCCUUGUUAUAAUACAUAUCUACAUAUGACCACGGAGCGGUAGCUGGCGAAAUUAUGCUUGACACAAGCUAAAUGAAGGGAGUGGAGGUUUUUAAGAAGAAGUUUUGAUGUUUGGCGACAAACAAAACCCUCCUGUGUGUAGGAGCCCUUAGAGAACACCUGCCUUCUAAAAUUGGAUUUGUGUUUGCACAAUCCAUGCAAUUGAUGCUCGAAGAGAAUUUCAGAGAUAUAUAUAUGCUUUUCGGGAUGAUCCAGAUCUGUAAAAUUACAUAGAUUUUGUUGAACAGGGGAUAGGUUUAGCAUCCUCCACUUCCUAUGAAAUUAUAGGGAUUGUUUUUUAGUUCUGCUGCGGUUUGAGUUCUGAGGGAUACAUUGAAUAUUUCAACUGCACUUUACCCAGUGUUGAGCGAUGCGGUUUACCAUUUUCGUGUUGCAUAAACGCUACAGACAUUAGUUCCAGUUUACUCAUUAUUAUGUUUGGAUGUGGAGUGCAGACUCUAUUGGUGGCUGAGGCUAGCAAGAAAGUGUGGACUUCUGGCUGGAGAGGAACCUCUACACGAUAGCCAUCAUUGCCUUCAGCACUGUAUUAUCCUAGCUCUUUGUCAUUUACCUUGCGAAGACUUUGAUUGCAGAAGUCGCGCUUGGUUAGGGUGCAUUUGUAAAUCCUUCAUCCUUCUUUCCCCCACACAAAUAUCGUCAUAUUUUUGUAAAUGUGAGUAUGUAAAUCAUAUCUAGUCUCCCGUAGAUGAAUCCAUUAUUAAAUUGUGUAACAUGAAAGAGGAUACAAAAAAAUUAACUAUUUUGAAUACUUUUUUAUAUGGGAUAGAUGAAGAAUGUGUAAUGAUGAUUCGUAGAGAAAAGGGAGAGAAAGACAUUUAAGGAGUUUUUGUUGUGUUUCUAUGUAACCAUUUCUUUUUUUUUCGAUUGAGGAAGCACCUUCUUCGCAACAGACUGUCUGACUCGAAAACGUAAAACAUGUAGUACUUAGAUAUGUUAAUAUAAUUAAC